AUGGCACCACGCAACAGAACUUCAUCUAGAAGGCCUCUCUGGGUCAUCGUCUUGAUUGCUUUUGUCUGUGCGAUAGUCACUGGUGCCUAUCUUUAUAAACCCCAACAUUACACGGGUUGCUACUUGUCUAAUUCCUGUGGUUCUCAGCCUCCUCUAGAACCUGUGAGAGUAUACACUGAUGAUGAGAUAGCUGCUCGUGCUGUAAUGAGAGACCUUGUUCUGUCACAGCCUGUUCAGUCAAAGAAUCCGAAGAUCGCUUUCAUGUUCUUGACACCCAGUUCAUUGCCUUUUGAGAAGCUUUGGGAAAAGUUCUUCAUGGGACAUGAAGACCGAUACACAAUAUACGUACAUGCUUCAAGAGAAAAGACAGUUCAUGCAAGUCCAAUAUUCGCUGGCAGGGAUAUUCGGAGUGAAAAGGUGGUCUGGGGUACAGUUACUAUGAUUGAUGCAGAGAGGAGGCUCUUGGCAAAUGCACUGCAAGAUGCAGAUAACCAGCAUUUUGUCUUGCUCUCUGAGAGUUGUGUACCACUGCAUAACUUCGAUUAUGUAUAUAGUUAUCUCAUGGAAACAAACAUCAGCUUUGUUGACUCUUUCGAUGAUCCUGGUCCACAUGGAGCAGGUAGAUACUCUGAGCAUAUGUUACCUGAAAUCGUCAAGAGGGAUUGGAGAAAGGGUGCACAGUGGUUCACGGUGAAACGGCAGCAUGCAGUUCUUAUACUUGUUGACACUCUUUACUAUGGAAAGUUCAAACGUUACUGUAAGCCUGGAAAUGAAUAUCAUAACUGCUAUUCUGAUGAGCACUAUCUGCCAACCUUAUUUAAUAUGGUUGAUCCAACCGGAAUCGCGAAUUGGUCAGUGACACGUGUUGAUUGGUCUGAAGGAAAAUGGCAUCCUAAAGUUUAUAGGGCUGUUGACACAAGCUUUGAACUGCUUAAAAGUAUAGCGUCUAUCGACGAGAGCGUUCACGUGACGAGCAACGCGAAGCACGAAAUGCAGCGAAGACCGUGCAUGUGGAACGGCAUGAAGAGGCCUUGCUACCUAUUCGCACGGAAAUUUUAUCCCGAGGCGCUCGACACUCUGAUGAACAUUUUCUCGAAUUUCACCGUCAUAUGA
rnacentral:rRNA from 1 species